AUUGACCGCUGGCGGCAGGCCUAACACAUGCAAGUCGAGCGAGCGGCGGACGGGGGAGUCAUGUAUGGGGAGUGCGCGCUAGAGGGGGAUAACUACUGGAAACGGUAGCUAAUACAGCAUACUAUCGGAUAACCCAUAUGGGAUUCGCUAGUAGGUGAGGUAAGGGCUCUCCUAGGCGACGAUCCCUCGCUGGUGUGAGAGGGUGAUCAGCCACACUGGAACUGAGACACGGUCCAGACCCCUACGGAGGCAUCAGUGGGGAAUAUUGCACAAUGGGCGAAAGCCUGAUGCAGCAAUGCCGCGUGUAUGAAGAAGGCCCGAGGGUUGUAAAGGACGUUCAGUCGGGAGGCGUUACCGACAGAAGAAGCACCGGCUAACGCCGUGCCAGCAGCCGCGGUAAUAC
rnacentral:rRNA from 1 species